UGUCGGCUGAUAUUUGUUUGUGAUAUUUAGUGUCGGUGCAAAAUCCUUUCUAUAUAUUGGUAGUUUGGCAAGGAAAACUGAAAGGAAAGUACGGAGAAAAUAGAGGAACACACAAGCAUGAGCCGAGAGCUCACAGAGGGCCGAGAUUUUUGGUGCUCAGAUUAUCCAUGAUUUGUUUUACAGAUUUCAGGUACCGAGGAUGAACUUGAAUUCAUAGUAGCAGGCUUAAGUGGAAGUGGAAGAGUUGGUUUUGAGGAAUUAAUUUUAUUAUUUAGAGAAUUUGUAUAUUCAUUUUUGAGGAAUUGAUUUAGUCAAUAAAGGUUAUUUUAUUUCUUUUGA